rnacentral:rRNA from 1 species
AUGAACGCUGGCGGCGUGCCUAAUCCAUGCAAGUCGAGCGAACGGACGAGAAGCUUGCUUUUCUGAUGUUAGCGGCGGACGGGUGAGUAACACGUGGAUAACCUACCUAUAAGGCUGGGAUAACUUCGGGAAACCGGAGCUAAUACCGGAUAAUAUUUUGAACCGCAUGGUUCAAAAGUGAAAGACGGUCUUGCUGUCACUUAUAGAUGGAUCCGCGCUGCAUUAGCUAGUUGGUAAGGUAACGGCUUACCAAGGCAACGAUGCAUAGCCGACCUGAGAGGGUGAUCGGCCACACUGGAACUGAGACACGGUCCAGACUCCUACGGGAGGCAGCAGUAGGGAAUCUUCCGCAAUGGGCGAAAGCCUGACGGAGCAACGCCGCGUGAGUGAUGAAGGUCUUCGGAUCGUAAAACUCUGUUAUUAGGGAAGAACAUAUGUGUAAGUAACUGUGCACAUCUUGACGGUACCUAAUCAGAAAGCCACGGCUAACUACGUG